UGUUUGUUUUUAAUAUUAGAAUAUACAAUUGGCUUUAAUCCAGGAAAUUCUUCUCCUCUAAAAGAGUGCUUGGGCACCUGUUGCUGAAAUGGAUGAUAAGCUGCAAGUCAUUUCUAACUGAACAUGGGAAAAUAACAAACUCAAUUCAUUAUGAUCAUCUAUGAAGUCCACAUGCUGCAAAUGCACUCUCCAGGCACCUGCUUACAGUACAGACCCCUGCAGCUGGAACAGGAUGUGGGACUAGAAAUAAUUUCUCCUUUCAAACAUUUUAAGUCAGACUUGUUCUGAUGGUGACCUCACAGAUACGAAAAGAUUCAACAGUAAGACUUCAAACACUUUUCAGUCAUCUGCUAUGCUAUGAGUUUUGGAUAGAUUCACUACCAUCAAUGAAACACAUCAUUUUUUUGCACUGUUUUUCUUAUGCUAUAGUCUGGCUGCAUAUAUCUACAGCUAAAUGCUACUUAAAGAAAUGGAAGGGGGAAAAUAUUCAGGGGACCGAGCACAGUUGUGUUAUGUGCUUGCUGCAAGUCCUGUCUGUGGAGUUAGCAAUGGUCCCUGACCGUCUGAAGCAGCUAAUUACCAGUGUCUGUUCCCCAGCUCUGCAUGUAUGAACUCAGAGCAAUGCCUUACCUUCUUGUUUAGUGGCACCCUUUUGGUACCUGCUCUGUGUCAGGUUGUGAGAUGCAAACCCUCAAAGUAGAACCCUCAAAGUAGUAAAGUCCUAUACUUUAUGGAUGAAAAUAAUCAUGGGUUUAGGUUCCUGAUGGAACUUGCCACACAGUCGGAAUCUUGUCAUUUAAAAAGGAAACUUAGGCAAGAAAUCUUGUUACUUCUACGCUAUUCUUAUCUCUGGUUUUUUGUUUUGUUUGUUGGUUUUGUUUUUUUUUGGAGCUCUGUUGUGAAAGCAUUUAUUAAACUGAAGUUAAUUCAUUGUGGGGCUUUUUGGGUGCUAUGGUCCACACAUUACUCAUUUUUUAUAUUAAUUUAAUGGAAGAGGUUUUAUUUUGAAUUAAAAUUCAAGUCACCAUUGUUGGGGUAUUUAAAAACUCAGUCAAUUAUAUCAAGAAAAUAUCUUCACAGCAUCUUGGGUGUUUUCUACUUUGUUUCAGUGAAUUUUACUUCAAUUCAAGGACCAAAGAAAGACCACUGGUCCCAGGUUGCUAUGUCAAUAUUACACAAAGAAUUUGGAAAAUUUAAAUCUUCCAGUUCAGUUUAUUGUUACAACAUCAGCAAUAGUUUCAGUCAUCCCGUGGAGCAGGCACAAUCACAGUAAAACAUCAGUGUAGAUGCACUGACGUUUUGGGAAGGUGAACACAGGUAGACUCAUUUCAUAGCAUUUGCUAAGAAAGAGGAGCAAGUAAGUUUAGAGACUUUCCCACAGUCACUUUUCCAAAGCACAGAAAUAGAAAACCUCACACAUAAAUAUGAGUCUAAACAAAAACACUCUGAGCACACUUGUCCGUAUAUAAAAUACAGAAGGAUACAAAAAUCAGACCCCAUCAGAUGACAACUCUGAGAUACUAUGAAAUCAUAUUCUGAAAGAAGAAACUGUGAUGGAAAUAUAAAUUUACAUGAUGAUAUACUAUAGUUCUGUGUGACAUGGAUGCAUUUGCAUGAUAAAAUCUCAAUUAUGGUAUUAAUAAAGAUGUAUCUUUAAUGAGUAGAUGCUCCUGUUCUGAUUGCACAGUGACAGAAAUUUUACUGUGUAUAUUUGAUUUCCUUUGUUUGAAAUAA